AAUAAGUACAGCCAUGAGUUUCCGCGCCCAACUUUGAUCGUCCAUUUUAUUUGAAUUUUUUUUUAUAAUUAGCAUUUUUGUUGUUAUAAGAUGAUAAAACAUGAAUAAUACUUUACUCGUGGCUUAUGUUUUUAAUUUUUUUUUCAAAAAAUUUUCAAAUAAGACGAAUGGUUAAAGUUGGACGCUGAAAACCAUGGCUGCACUUAUU
rfam:Oryza sativa Japonica Group DNA, chromosome 3, cultivar: Nipponbare, complete sequence.